rnacentral:rRNA from 1 species
GGCAGCAGUGGGGAAUAUUGGGCAAUGGGCGCAAGCCUGACCCAGCAACGCCGCGUGAAGGAAGAAGGCUUUCGGGUCGUAAACUUCUUUUAAGAGGGAAGAGCAGAAGACGGUACCUGUAGAAUAAGCCACGGCUAACUACGUGUCAGCAGCCGCGGUAAUACGUAGGUGGCAAGCGUUGUCCGGAUUUACUGGGUGUAAGGGGCGUGCAGCCGGGUCUGCAAGUCAGAUGUGAAAUCCAUGGGCUCAACCCAUGAUCUGCAUUUGAAACUGUAGAUCUUGAGUGUCGGAGGGGCAAUCGGAAUUCCUAGUGUAGCGGUGAAAUGCGUAGAUAUUAGGAGGAACACCAGUGGCGAAGGCGGAUUGCUGGACGAUAACUGACGGUGAGGCGCGAAAGUGUGGGGAGCAAACAGGAUUAGAUACCCUGGUAGUCCACACUGUAAACGAUGAAUAUUAGGUGUGCGGGGACUGACCCCCUGCGUGCCGCAGUAAACACAAUAAGUAUUCCACCUGGGGAGUACGAUCGCAAGGU